GAGGGCGCUACUGUCACGUUAGCUGGCUCACUCUUACCGGCGACGCGGAACGCUGUGGAAAGGAAAGCGCUCGUUCUCCAAAUAUUGGUUGAAUUAGAAUAUUAGCUAGAAGCUGAAAGUCGCCAGAAAGCUGAGGGGGUUGUUCUAUCAUCCUCAUUAGAGCGGCAUCUAAACGACACUGUGUGGCUGUUGGAGGCAGAAAUACAGCAAUAACAUGCUGCUAUGGAGCAAGAGGAGGAUGAGAAUCUAGCAGGAGUAUGCACCAAAAAUAACAACUAGGACUUAUCACUUCCAUCUGGUAUGAACUUAUUUUUUUCAUAGGUACGUAUAGUCA